CACUUGUUCUUUAAAUGGGGACUUGUAUCAACGGCACCACGAGGGUUAGACUGUCUCCUUUUUCAAAUCAGUGAAAUUAAUCUCCCCGUGAAGAAGCGGGGAUACUCAUAUAAGACGAGAAGACCCCAUGGAGCUUCAAACCCAACUACACCCCUAGCUCUUAUAGCCCCACAACCCCCCUAGGCACCGUGUGCUUGGUUUUAGGUUGGGGCGACCGCGGAGUACAAUAAAACCUCCACAAUGAAUGGGAACACCCCCUUAUCUGAGGGCCACACCCCCUAAGAAUUAGAACACUAACAUAAAAUGAUCCAUUAUUUGAUCAAUGAACCAAGUUACCCUGGGGAUAACAGCGCAAUCCAUUUCAAGAGCCCCUAUCGACAAAUGGGUUUACGACCUCGAUGUUGGAUCAGGGUACCCCAGUGGUGCAGCAGCUACUAACGGUUCG
rnacentral:rRNA from 1 species